ensembl:lncRNA
GUGGGAAGUGGGGGGUGUUGACUGUGGGAAGUUUGGGGGCUUCCAGGCUGCCACCUGCUUGGAGGCAGGUGCGGGGCAGGGAGGUGGCGUGGUCCAGGGCCUGGCCCCCUUUGCCCGGGAAGCUACGGGCCCUCGAGGCUUCGAGCGGAGGGAUGGCUGGGAAGCGACAGCAUAGAACAAGGUGACCCGGUGAGCAGGCCGCUGCUUGUUUCCAGGCCGAGUCCCGAGGGAGCCCAUAUGCUGAGCAGAGCGUGUUGCCGGAGGGUGGGUUUUGGGCUGGGAGCGGCCGCCAGGCCUGGGGCUGGACUCCCAGGGCCGAGAGAGCUGGAGCCCCAGGAAGGGCCUGGAGGCCGAGAGGCUGCUAGAGGCUCAGACACAGGGGCAGUCCUAGAGCUCGGAGCCCCUCAGGGACCAGGCUGGGAGCUGGGCAGCCUGCAGGCGGCCCGGGCCACCCCCUACCCCAUGCAGAGAGUUGAGGCUCUGAGGUUCUUCGUGGCCAACACUGAAACAAAUUCAAGGCCCAAAGCCAUGAAGGGGGGGCAGGGGGAGGAUGCUGGCACCGGGAGAGCUGCACACAGGCCUCGGGGACCGCCUUCCAGAAGGGGCCACGGCACCAGCUCUGUCCCGGCCUGGGGUGGACUCUCUGGGCCGGCUGACCCUCCACCAUCCCGGGCCUCCUGCUGCCUCCUGGGCAACAGCUGGGUGUGGCUGGGGCAGGAGGGGCUGUCCCUUGGCCACAUCACAGCUGGCAAGCUCUGGCAGAGCUGGCACUGGUCACUGGCCCCUGGCAACCAGACCUUUCCAGGCUGGGAGGUGUUUAUGGUCCCUUGACCCAGAGGGGCCCAGCCAGGUCCUGUUCCAUGGCGGCAGUCCGGCGCCGGGCCUCCUCUCUGCGCCCACCCCAGGCCCCCGCUGCACUCCGGCCCUUCCUCUGCUAAGGAGUCUCAAGGUGGAAACAGUGCUUGGCCGGGCGUUUGCUCUGUUGAAACAGCGCGUGGUGCCUUCCGCAACGACGGCUCUGUCCCGGGGUCGGUCUGCAAAGGCAGAAGAAAACCCAGGGUCACGUUGGACAGAGUCCUUGUCACCACCGUGCUCACGCUCUGGCAGAGUCCUUGUCACCACCGUGCUCAAGCGACGGGGCACGCCUCGGAUCAGGCACCACCAGGGUUGGAAGGAGUGUGGCUGAGCAUGCGGGGGUGGGGGCAGCUGGGGAGGGGACAUUGGAUAAGAUCUGACAGCACAAAGGAGGCAGCACGGGUACAUCUGGGCAGAGGGCAAAGCCAGUGUGAAGGCCCUGGGGCAGGAGACCGUUAGUGGCGGAGCAGAGAGGGCCAGUGAGCAAGGCCGCAGCGUCGGGCAGGUGCGGGGAGGUUGGGGGGGGUUGGGGCAGGCGGGUGGGGGAGGCUGGGGAGGGGACGCGCCAGGGCUUGGCGUGGGAGGGCAUCUGCAGCAGGGGGCAAACCUGGCCCCCUGGGGUUUGCUUCCAAUGGCCCUGCCUGCACGGGCUGGCCUGCCAAGUUCGCCUCCAGGGGAAACUGCUUAUUUGUUUAGGAAAAAAUGUUAAGGGACUUUCGUUUCUAAAAGGAGAACCCAGAGCUCGGUCUGGACCUGGAAUCAAGACAGAGUGGAAGCGCUCCCCCUCAGAAGGAGGGCCCCGAGGGGAAAGCUGCUGAGCGGCCCCCCUUUGCCUGCGGGGAGGGGAGGGGAGGGCAGGGGAGGGCCGGGCAGCGCGGGGAGGGGUGCAUCAGACCUGGUUUUCAUUUAAUUUCUCUGAUGGCUGGGGAGAUUACUUUCACUUCGGACGUUUGAAUUAUUUUAUGUAAACUGUUUCACCCUAGUCCUUCUCCAUUUUCCAUUGGGCUCUCUGUCUUUUUCUUCUGUUUUGGAACCUCUUCUUCUGUCACAAAUAUUUUCCCAAUUUGUCACUGUGUUAUUUUUUUAUUUAUUGAAGAUAUUUAUAGAUACAAAGAUGUUAGAAUUGUACACACUCGAAUUUAUCUGUAUUUUCCUUUCAUGAUUCCUCUUCGGAUUAGUGCCUAGAAAGGCCUCAUCCAAUUAAAAACUGGUGCAAUACUUCCAUAUGCCUUUUUAAUUUAUGGAGUGAUUUUCUUUUUGAUGUGUUCUCUAAUCCAUCUGAAAUUAAUUUGUGUGGAUACUUGGGUAGGGAUAUAACUUUAUUUUUUUUCUUCCGAUAAUUAACCAAUUCCCCCCGCGUCGUGUGUUGAACAUUCGCUGUGGAACAGUGCAGUCCUCCUGGGCCUGGACUUUGAGGGAGACUCUUGGUGAAGGGGCCCAUCGGAGCUGUGGGCAGGGUUUCUGGAAACUGAGAGGCCUGAGCCUUCCCCAGGAGCUGGCGCUGGGUCGUCCUGGGCCUGAAGCUACCCAGAGUGUCACUGGGAUGGCACAGGGGAGCUGUUUGCAGAGACACCCCCGCAGGGCCCUGCCCCUGGGGUAGAGACGCAGCCUGUCCAGAGCAAGCUGGCAGAGCGGUCAGGAAGGAAGGCCCCGCACCCCCACCCCCGUGCCCCCUGGCGGGUGGCCCCAGGAGGCUGAGAGCCAGGCUGAGGAGUUCUGGAAGGCAGAGGAAAUCUGAGUUCCAGCCAUCCCUCGGGGGAGCCCUGAGCCCCUCCCCAAGGCAGUCACCGGAUGGCCACCUGCACCCUCGCAGCCUUGGGGCCCGAGGCUGACCUGCUGGGCAGACAGACGAGGCCUGCAGACCAGGCUUUGCUUAAGCUGCAUUCGGCCCCACCAGCUCCACCCCCGCCCGGAUGGACAGACGGACAGAGUGGCAGGUGUUGGGGAGCCCUCCUUCCUCUGCCUGGAGCAACUGGGGACGGAGAAACAUCUGGACCUCACUGGCUCUCACACACACCGUGUUACGCUUGUAACCAAGUUACCAAACUUGGGAAGAGGCAGGAAAGUAGGACCCACAAUUAAGAGGAAAGUACAAGUGGACCAGAGGUGAUUCGGAGGUUCGAGUCAGCGGACAAAGGCUUUAACGGGGACGAAUCUGUUAUACCACAGGAAAGAUGGAAUAAGUAGGUGAAAAAUGGGAAUUGAUGUCUUAAAAAAAUUAAGGUUUAGAUGAUAAAACCAUCACAUGGAAAUCGCCAACUUCAAUCUUCAGGCUCUGAAAUGAGUAAUUCACUAAUGGCUUUAGCAGCGGAACACAGGCCUGUGACCUGGAAAAAGCAGGUGAAUAGAAAAAACCCAGACUGUGGCACGGAGAGUAAAACCAGAGAAGCAGGUGAGGGACGCAGGCGGUGGGCGCCACGCUCUGGUCGCCUUGCGGCUGGAGCUCCGGAGACACCGGUGCAGACGGCCGAGGGCAAAGAGGUGACGCCCUAGACGCUUCCAGAAGGGGGAAAACCGCCACCUCGGGGAUUCAAGAAGCUCUGCAAACCCUGGCAGAAAGAUCAAGCUAAUGAAGAAUAAAAGAUACUCUUAAUUCCA